UCGAGCGGACUUGAUGAGGAGCUUGCUUNUCUGAGAGUUAGCGGCGGACGGGUGAGUAACACGUAGGCAACCUGCCCUCAAGACUGGGAUAACUACCGGAAACGGUAGCUAAUACCGGAUAAUUAAAUYYGCUGCAUGGCGGAKUUAUGAAAGGCGGAGCAAUCUGUCACUUGAGGAUGGGCCUGCGGCGCAUUAGCUAGUUGGUGAGGUAACGGCUCACCAAGGCGACGAUGCGUAGCCGACCUGAGAGGGUGAACGGCCACACUGGGACUGAGACACGGCCCAGACUCCUACGGGAGGCAGCAGUAGGGAAUCUUCCGCAAUGGGCGAAAGUGACGGAGCAACCCGCGUGAGUGAUGAAGGUUUUCGGAUCGUAAAGCUCUGUUGCCAGGGAAGAACGACUCAUAGAGUAACUGCUAUGGGAGUGACGGUACCUGAGAAGAAAGCCCCGGCUAACUACGUGCCAGCAGCCGCGGUAAUACGUAGGGGGCAAGCGUUGUCCGGAAUUAUUGGGCGUAAAGCGCGCGCAGGCGGUUCUUUAAGUCUGGUGUUUAAACCCGAGGCUCAACUUCGGGACGCACUGGAAACUGGGGAACUUGAGUGCAGAAGAGGAGAGUGGAAUUCCACGUGUAGCGGUGAAAUGCGUAGAUAUGUGGAGGAACACCAGUGGCGAAGGCGACUCUCUGGGCUGUAACUGACGCUGAGGCGCGAAAGCGUGG
rnacentral:rRNA from 1 species